UACAGAGGGUGCAAGCGUUAAUCGGAAUUACUGGGCGUAAAGCGCGCGUAGGUGGUUCGUUAAGUUUGGAUGUGAAAUCCCCGGGCUCAACCUGGGAACUGCAUUCAAAACUGAUGAGCUAGAGUAUGGUAGAGGGUGGUGGAAUUUCCUGUGUAGCGGUGAAAUGCGUAGAUAUAGGAAGGAACACCAGUGGCGAAGGCGACCACCUGGACUGAUACUGACACUGAGGUGCGAAAGCGUGGGGAGCAAACAGG
rnacentral:rRNA from 1 species